UCCUACGGGAGGCAGCAGUGAGGAAUAUUGGUCAAUGGGCGAGAGCCUGAACCAGCCAAGUCGCGUGAGGGAGUACUGCCCUAUGGGUUGUAAACCUCUUUUGUCGGGGAGCAAAAGCCGGACGUGUCCGGCUGUGAGAGUACCUGAAGAAAAAGCAUCGGCUAACUCCGUGCCAGCAGCCGCGGUAAUACGGAGGAUGCGAGCGUUAUCCGGAUUUAUUGGGUUUAAAGGGUGCGUAGGCGGAAUGCCAAGUCAGCGGUAAAAUCGCGGGGCUCAACCUCGCUCCGCCGUUGAAACUGGCGUUC
rnacentral:rRNA from 1 species